rnacentral:rRNA from 1 species
GCAAGUCGAGCGCAGGAAACCGUCUGAACCCUUCGGGGGGACGACGAUGGAAUGAGCGGCGGACGGGUGAGUAACACGUAAAGAACCUGCCCACGGGUCUGGGAUAACCACGAGAAAUCGGGGCUAAUACCGGACGGGUCAUCGGACCGCAUGGUCCGAGGAUGAAAGGCGCUCCGGCGUCGCCCGUGGAUGGCUUUGCGGUGCAUUAGCUAGUUGGUGGGGUAAUGGCCCACCAAGGCGACGAUGCAUAGCCGACCUGAGAGGGUGAUCGGCCACACUGGGACUGAGACACGGCCCAGACUCCUACGGGAGGCAGCAGUAGGGAAUCUUCCACAAUGGACGAAAGUCUGAUGGAGCAACGCCGCGUGAACGAUGAAGGCCCUCGGGUCGUAAAGUUCUGUUGUAAGGGAAGAACAAGUGCCGCAGGCAAUGGCGGCACCUUGACGGUACCUUGCGAGAAAGCCACGGCUAACUACGUGCCAGCAGCCGCGGUAAUACGUAGGUGGCAAGCGUUGUCCGGAAUUAUUGGGCGUAAAGCGCGCGCAGGCGGCCUCUUAAGUCUGAUGUGAAAGCCCCCGGCUCAACCGGGGAGGGCCAUUGGAAACUGGGAGGCUUGAGUAUAGGAGAGAAGAGUGGAAUUCCACGUGUAGCGGUGAAAUGCGUAGAGAUGUGGAGGAACACCAGUGGCGAAGGCGACUCUUUGGCCUAUAACUGACGCUGAGGCGCGA